rnacentral:lncRNA from 1 species
GUGUUUUACAGAGGAGAGAAGAGGAAAAGAGUUUCUACCAUGAGGCCAGCUGUGAGUUUAUCUUUGGUAUCUUGCUUUCUAGGAACUGUUCUUGAAUAUCUGCUGAAGGGAAAGGAAGAUGACCACAUGGAAGCUAUGUUAAAAGUCAAAAUGGAGAAACAUACCCAACUCCACAGAGAUGGGAUGCUUAUACGAGUGUUCCUUUCUCUGGAUCAUAAAAAAGGUGACAUCAAAGAAGAAAAAUGAUCUGAUAUUGUAGAGUGGAUUCCUGACCUAUAUUAGAAGAUUAGAAGGUAAAAAAAAAUGCACCACACACAGAGUAGAAAGGAUAAUAAGUAAUCAUGUUUUUAAAGGUAUUGGAUAGAAGUGG